rnacentral:rRNA from 1 species
AGUCGAGGGGUAAAUUCUUCGGAAUUAGAGACCGGCGCACGGGUGCGUAACGCGUAUGCAAUCUACCUUUUACAGAGGGAUAGCCCAGAGAAAUUUGGAUUAAUACCUCAUAGUAUAGCAGUUUCGCAUGAAACCACUAUUAAAGUCACAACGGUAAAAGAUGAGCAUGCGUCCCAUUAGCUAGUUGGUAAGGUAACGGCUUACCAAGGCUACGAUGGGUAGGGGUCCUGAGAGGGAGAUCCCCCACACUGGUACUGAGACACGGACCAGACUCCUACGGGAGGCAGCAGUGAGGAAUAUUGGACAAUGGGCGCAAGCCUGAUCCAGCCAUGCCGCGUGCAGGAUGACGGUCCUAUGGAUUGUAAACUGCUUUUGUACAGGAAGAAACAGUUCUACGUGUAGAACCUUGACGGUACUGUAAGAAUAAGGAUCGGCUAACUCCGUGCCAGCAGCCGCGGUAAUACGGAGGAUCCAAGCGUUAUCCGGAAUCAUUGGGUUUAAAGGGUCCGUAGGCGGUUUAAUAAGUCAGUGGUGAAAGCCCAUCGCUCAACGGUGGAACGGCCAUUGAUACUGUUAAACUUGAAUUAUUAGGAAGUAACUAGAAUAUGUAGUGUAGCGGUGAAAUGCUUAGAGAUUACAUGGAAUACCAAUU